rnacentral:tRNA from 1 species
GGCGCCGUGGCCAAGUGGUAAGGCAGAGGACUGCAAAUCCUCGAUCCCCGGUUCGAAUCCGGGCGGCGCCU